GACGAACGCUGGCGGCGUGCUUAACACAUGCAAGUCGAACGGUAAGGCCCUUCGGGGUACACGAGUGGCGAACGGGUGAGUGACACGUGGGUGAUCUGCCCUGCACUUCGGGGUAAGCCUGGGAAACUGGGUCGAAUGCCGGAGAGGACCACUGCCUGCAUGGGUGGUGGAGGAAAGCGUUUGCGGGGUGGGAGGGGGCCGCGGCCUAUCAGCUUGUUGGUGGGGUGAUGGGCUACCAAGGCGACGACGGGUAGGCGGCCUGAGAGGGUGACCGGCCACACUGGGACUGAGAUACGGCCCAGACUCCUACGGGAGGCAGCAGUGGGGAAUAUUGCACAAUGGGCGCAAGCCUGAUGCAGCGACGCCGCGUGAGGGAUGACGGCCUUCGGGUUGUAAACCUCUUUCAGCACCGACGAAGCGCAAGUGACGGUAGGUGCAGAAGAAGGACCGGCCAACUACGUGCCAGCCGCCGCCGUAA
rnacentral:rRNA from 1 species